UUACGACCAUAUCACGUCUAAACACUAGAUCCCGUACGAUCACCAAAGUUAAGCAACGUCGUGUCUGAACUACCUAGAUGGGUGACCGCAUGGGAGUAUGAGUUGCUGCAAU